UGAGGAAUAUUGGGCAAUGGGGGAAACCCUGACCCAGCGACGCCGCGUGAGGGAAGAAGGACUUAGGGUCGUAAACCUCUGUUGUGUGGGAAGAAGAGCGUGACGGUACCACACGAGGAAGUCCCGGCUAACUACGUGCCAGCAGCCGCGGUAAUACGUAGGGGACGAGCGUUGUCCGGAUUUACUGGGCGUAAAGGGCGCGUAGGCGGUCAUUUAAGUCAGCUGUGAAAUGGUUUGGCUUAACCGGAUCAUGCGGUUGAAACUGGGUGACUGGAGUGCUUGAGAGGCAAGUGGAAUUCCCAGUGUAGCGGGGAAAUUCGUAGAUAUUGGGAAUAACACCGGUGGCGAAGGCGACUUGCUGGCCAGCAACUGACGCUGAGGCGCGAAAGCCAGGGGAGCAAGCG
rnacentral:rRNA from 1 species